rnacentral:rRNA from 1 species
GAUGAACGCUGGCGGCGUGCCUAAUACAUGCAAGUAGAACGCUGAAGGAAGGAGCUUGCUCUUCUGGAUGAGUUGCGAACGGGUGAGUAACGCGUAGGUAACCUGCCUGGUAGCGGGGGAUAACUAUUGGAAACGAUAGCUAAUACCGCAUAACAGUAGAUGUUGCAUGACAUCUGCUUGAAAGGUGCAAUUGCACCACUACCAGAUGGACCUGCGUUGUAUUAGCUAGUUGGUGAGGUAACGGCUCACCAAGGCGACGAUACAUAGCCGACCUGAGAGGGUGAUCGGCCACACUGGGACUGAGACACGGCCCAGACUCCUACGGGAGGCAGCAGUAGGGAAUCUUCGGCAAUGGACGGAAGUCUGACCGAGCAACGCCGCGUGAGUGAAGAAGGUUUUCGGAUCGUAAAGCUCUGUUGUAAGAGAAGAACGAGUGUGAGAGUGGAAAGUUCACACUGUGACG